rnacentral:misc_RNA from 1 species
UCACCUCUCAAGCCCCCAUUUCUUCAUUGAAACCGGCUUGGUGUUGGACGGUUUGGUGACGGCGACGUCACCCCUCCCAAAGACAAUGACGGCGGCUUCGUGAGACCCCCGGUACACUGAGUUCCUCACCGAACACGUACUGGAUAAAGGGUAGACGAGGCCCCGGUCGACCUCUCUUCACAGGGAGACUACUUUUUUAACAA